rnacentral:lncRNA from 1 species
UACAUAUAGUUUCAUUCACUCUUUAAGAAGAAACAAGUUAACACCCCAAAGAGCUGAAAACAUGGUAUUUGUGCACAAUAAUCUUAGUCUUUUAUCAAGGAAGAGCCCAAGCUACAAAGAAGGUGUUACUCAAAUGUGGGACAUUGGAUGAGAUGGAUUUGAUUGCUUAGGUGAAGAAGGUGUUGGGAUGCUUGAAAUUGCUAACCUUUGUCUAAAUGAACCAUCAUUGGAGGUGGCUUUAUGUACCGACGAAGACAUUACAAAUAUUGUAGUUGACUG